rnacentral:rRNA from 1 species
GAUGAACGCUGGCGGCGUGCCUAACACAUGCAAGUCGAACGGACUUUUCAUGAAGCCUAGCGAUUGAAAAGUUAGUGGCGGACGGGUGAGUAACGCGUGGGUAACCUGCCUUGUACUGGGGGACAACAGUUGGAAACGACUGCUAAUACCGCAUAAGCGCACAGCUUCGCAUGAAGCAGUGUGAAAAACUCCGGUGGUACAAGAUGGACCCGCGUCUGAUUAGCUGGUUGGUGAGGUAACGGCCCACCAAGGCGACGAUCAGUAGCCGGCCUGAGAGGGUGAACGGCCACAUUGGGACUGAGACACGGCCCAAACUCCUACGGGAGGCAGCAGUGGGGAAUAUUGCACAAUGGGGGAAACCCUGAUGCAGCAACGCCGCGUGAGUGAAGAAGUAUUUCGGUAUGUAAAGCUCUAUCAGCAGGAAAGAAAAUGACGGUACCUGACUAAGAAGCCCCGGCUAACUACGUGCCAGCCGCCGCAGUAA